CCUACGGGAGGCAGCAGUAGGGAAUAUUGCUCAAUGGGGGAAACCCUGAUGCAGCGACGCCGCGUGAGUGAAGAAGUAUUUCGGUAUGUAAAGCUCUAUCAGCAGGGAAGAAAAUGACGGUACCUGAGUAAGAAGCCCCGGCUAACUACGUGCCAGCAGCCGCGGUAAUACGUAGGGGGCAAGCGUUAACCGGAUUUACUGGGUGUAAAGGGAGCGUAGACGGCAGCACAAGUCUGGAGUGAAAUGCCGGGGCUUAACCCCGGAACUGCUUUGGAAACUGUGCAGCUAGAGUGCAGGAGAGGUAAGUGGAAUUCCUAGUGUAGCGGUGAAAUGCGUAGAUAUUAGGAGGAACACCAGUGGCGAAGGCGGCUUACUGGACUGUAACUGACGUUGAGGCUCGAAAGCGUGGGGAGCAAACAGGAUUAGAUACCCCUGUAGUC
rnacentral:rRNA from 1 species